CGGACGGGUGAGUAACGCGUGAGAAUCUGCCUUCAGGAUGGGGACAACAGCGAGAAAUCGCUGCUAAAACCCAAUGUGCCGAGAGGUAAAAUAUUUAUAGCCUGAAGAGGAGCUCGCGUCCGAUUAGUUAGUUGGUGGGGUAAAAGCCUACCAAGGCAGCGAUCGGUAGCUGGUCUGAGAGGAUGAGCAGCCACACUGGGACUGAGACACGGCCCAGACUCCUACGGGAGGCAGCAGUGGGGAAUUUUCCGCAAUGGGCGAAAGCCUGACGGAGCAAUACCGCGUGAGGGAGGAAGGCUCUUGGGUCGUAAACCUCUUUUUCUCAAGGAAGAUAAUGACGGUACUUGAGGAAUAAGCAUCGGCUAACUCCGUGCCAGCAGCCGCGGUAAUACGGAGGAUGCAAGCGUUAUCCGGAAUGAUUGGGCGUAAAGAGUCCGUAGGUGGUAAUUCAAGUCUGUGGUUAAAGCGUGGAGCUCAACUCCAUAAAGGCCAUGGAAACUGAAUAACUAGAGUGAGGUAGGGGUAGAGGGAAUUCUCGGUGUAGCGGUGAAAUGCGUAGAUAUCGGGAAGAACACCGGUGGCGAAAGCGCUCUACUGGACCUUAACUGACACUGAGGGACGAAAGCUAGGGGAGCGAAAGGGAUUAGAUACCCCUGUAGUC
rnacentral:rRNA from 1 species